UUUUUUGUUUGGAGACCCGCUAUCUACGUACAAAUUUCCCGUUUUCUUUUUUUUGGGUAUUUUUAAGGUCUGAAACUUUUUAUCCAAACUGACCCAAACCCAAUUGGAUCCGACCCGAACCAGAACCAAAUAUUUAGAAUUAUUCUAUUGGGUAGUAAAUCAUAUACCCAUUAAUCCCAAACCUGAACGGGUUCUACCCGAACUCGAAUGGGUUACUCAUAUGCCCAACCCUAUUCUCUGAUUUAAUUAUCUAAAAACUCCCAAAAAAACAUAUGUUUUGCUGACUACUUUUUAUUCAAAAAAAUUUACAUCAUCUUCUGCCAAAAUCAUUUCAUUAGACAUCCCAAAACCCUUGGAAUAAUGAUUCCAUGAAUGAAGAAUCCUAAUUUGAAUAUACCAAGAGGUUUUAAAAGGUUUUAAGUUUUUUAUAGGUGUGUAUGUGAGAAGGUACAUACAUGAAUGAAGAAUCCUAAUUUGAAUAUACCAAGAGGUUUUAAAAGGUUUUAAGUUUUUUAUAGGUGUGUAUGUGAGAAGGUACAUACAUCGUGAUGGUAAUCUGUUUAUUUAUAAUUUUAACUUGCAGUAUACCGCAGGUAAGCUUAUAUUUUAGUUAAAUU
rnacentral:sRNA from 1 species